rnacentral:rRNA from 1 species
GCAUGUCUAAGUACACGCCCCAGUACGGCGAAACCGCGAAUGGCUCAUUAAAUCACACCUAAUGUACUGGACGAUGACUGUUACUCGGAUAACUGCGGUAAUUCUGGAGCUAAUACGUGCGUGAUUGCCCUGACCUUGCGGAACGGGUGCUUUUAUUAGAUCAAAACCAAACGGUACCCUUCGGGGCGCCGUUCCCUUGGUGACUCUGAAUAACUUUGAGCGGAUCGCACGGCUAAACGCCGGCGACGUGUCCUUCCAAGGUGUGCCCUAUCAACUGUCGACUGUGGCAUAGACGCCCACAGUGGUGUUGACGGGUAACGGGGAAUUAGGGUUCGAUUCCGGAGAGGGAGCCUGAGAGACGGCUACCACUUCUAAGGAAGGCAGCAGGCGCGCAAAUUACCCACUGGCCGAAGGCCGAGGUAGUGACGAAAAAUAACGAUACCGGACUCAUCCGAGGCCCGGUAAUCGGAAUGAGUACACUUUAAAUCCUUUAACGAGGAACCAUUGGAGGGCAAGUCUGGUGCCAGCAGCCGCGGUAAUUCCAGCUCCAAUAGCGUAUAUUAAAGUUGUUGCGGUUAAAAAGCUCGUAGUUGGAUCUCAGCAGGCAGGGGGCGGUGCGUUUUUUGACGCGACUGCCUGUUUUGCCUGCGACUUUUCUCGGUGGAGUCGACCGGGUGCUCUUUAUUGAGUGUCCGUUUUGUCGGGCCACCAGGUUUACUUUGAAAAAAUUAGAGUGCUCCAAGCAGGCCGCAUACGCCUGAAUACUCGUGCAUGGAAUAAUGGAAUAGGACGGACGACGACUCCCGACUCCUCGUCGGCU